AAUAGUAAACUCCAAAACUACAACCGUUUUCAACUCAAGAGAGUCUUCAUCAGGUGGAAUGUAGUCUAUUAUUUGAGUUGUUUUUCUACUACUUCCCAGUAAAGAACCGCUGUGAUUUGAAUCCUGUAAGAGUGAUUUGCAGGAUUUAAAGGUGUAACCAAUGAGUAAAUCCAGAAACAUUAGUGAUUGAAAGUGGAGCUCUAAACUGAACAAUUAAAACACAUACAUAAUAAAAUGAAUUCAAAUCCUGGUAUUUCUGAAAUGAAUUUAAGACCAGGGAAUGAACCAUUUGAUUUAGAAAAUAUGAUUACAUAAGUUGCAAAAAAUGAAAUGAAAUGAAAUCCAAAUACUACUAAUAAUUCUAAAAUAGUAAAAUAAGUUGAUCGUCUAGCAAAAGAGAGAUGAAUGUGGAAGUGUUACAAGCUGUAAUAAUAAUGAUGAUGAUGAUGUGAGGAUUUCAAUUCUCAAAAAUGGCAGAAAAGAAUUAGUAAGAGUUAGGAAAGUAUGCAGGAUAUGAUUUAGUGGUUUAUACUGCCCUAAGUAUUAAUCUAGACUAGUUAUUGGAAGAUCAAUACUAUAACUGAAAAUAAAUGGUAACCAAAAUAUGUUCGGCAUAAUUUGACAAGAUCACAGGCAUCACCAGUGACCCUUUUUUGUUUAAGUGUCCUUACAUGAUAUUUACAAUGCUGCAGGACAUGUUGAAGCUUUAGUGUUUGUGAGACACUAACCACCUCAUCACAGGGAGCGAUUUUAGUGUCUGGAGAACUGAUGGGCUCACUGUCCAUUAGACGACACAUGGGAGCUUCCUGUGGAAGGCCUGCCCUUAAAUGAGGUGUAAGCGUUGCAAGAUGUGUUCCCAGCAACAUGGGAGACUUCUCAUGUUGUGCUGCCUCCAAUGGAGGCAACACAGGGCUUCCUCACAAUGGCGAUGCUUUCCCCAUAUAAUGGGGAAAGUUCCACAGAAAGGGAGUUGUGCACGGGGCCACAGAUUUGCCCCUCUUCUUCCUUUUUCCUCCCCAGAAUCCUGAUGAAGCAGGAUGCUUCGCCAGGGCUUUAUGAUGAGGUCAUAUAAGUUGGACCAAUAUAAGUCAGCAUGAGCAGCUUUUGAAGCACCAUGCUGCAAUCUGUAGUAUUCUCCCAACCAGAAGAAAGGCGUGGGUAAAUCCCAAUUGUAGUGGAUUGCUUCUCCUGGCCAUCCCGAGAAUGAGAAUCAUAGAAUCAUAGAAUAGUAGAGUUGGAAGAGACCUCAUGGGUCAUCCAGUCCAACGCCCUGCCAAGAAGCAGGAAAUUGCGUUCAAAGCACCCCUGACAGAUGGCCAUCCAGCCUCUGCUUAAAAGCCUCCAAAGAAGGAGCCUCCACCACUGUCCGGGGGAGAGAGUUCCACUGUGAGGGUUCAUUCUGGGAUGGCAGGAAGAGCAAUCCACAUCCUUCCUCAAUCAAACAAACAAAUGAAAAUUAGUUGACAAGUGAUUUGGUUCACAGAAUUUAUGUUAGUUAAAGCUUGAUAAUAAAAGUGUUGGAGAAGUAGGGAGGGUCUUGAUGGCUCAACUGAAAAAGAAUCUUGGAUCCUGCCAUUCUGGAUAGAGCAUGGGGAUAAACCCAAUUGCUUCUACUGUCAUCCCUGAAGGAACCUUCACGGUAAGUACAAUGUCUCUGUUUCCAUAGGUUCCCCUCCUUGUCUCAGAUGGGCCUCCUAACACCCAAUCCUUGAAGUCACAGAGCUAUUAUUAUGUCAUUAUGUUUUAUUUAUACCCGUUUUUCUCUCCACAAGGAGACAGAACUUCCAGGACUUGUUUUUUGUGCGCUGUCCAAGUGCCCAGAGAGUUGGGAGUGUGUUGUCAGAAAUAUUAAAUAUUAACUGAGUAUUUUUGAUUACAAAAGUGUAGGCCAAAGCCCAUUAGUGUUAGUGGAUGAAAGUUAACAUUACUCUGAGGAGAGUGAGUAGGCCGAAGCCUGUUGGUGGCAGUUUUUGCCUCAGUGACAGAACUCCUCAGUCAGUUUGAGAUAAACGUCAGUCUGACGUAAACCUGUUUGAGAGACGCCUCAUGUUUUAAAUCGCCUGUGUUUGAAGGCUGUGGCGUGCUAAACAGUACAGCUAUAUUAUUUUACUACAAAGAAAAGCCUCCUUUGGAAGAUAUAACAUUGGUCAGUGUGUUUUUGUUCCUUUUCAUCACUUUGGGCAACUGGUGCUGGAUUGUGUCGCUUCUGAAGAGUUGCUCUGCUAUACAUUUAUGAGGGAGAGCCUUAUUAUUAUUUAAGCCCACUCGCCCAACAAAACCUUCAUGGUAAGUACAAUUUCUCAGUUUCCAUAAGUUCCCCUCCUUGUCUCAGAUGGGCCUCCUCACAGCCAAUUCUUGAAGUCACAGAGCUAUCAUUAUGUUGUUAUGUUUAUUUAUACCCGUUUUUUUCUCUCUACAAGGAGACUGGGAACUUCCAGGGCUUUUUUUUGCCAUGUCCAAGUGCCCAGAGAGUUGGGAGUGUGUCCACUCCUGAAGGAGCUGAGGGACAGUCCAAAUGGUCUGGGAGAGAGAGCCUGGUCCAAGGCUGCCCAUAGUACCACUCCCUGCCCAGGCCUCUAAUCAAAACAAAUGGAGGCUUCCCCUAAGCCUGGUAGUCCUGGGAUGCAUGCCACCAGGGCUUCUUCACCAGAGCUUUUCUAGAUCACUGCUUAGUAAAGUACAGAUCCUGUCUCCAAAUGAAGUCCCCUUAGCUCAAUGUUGGGGUCACAUAAAAUUUGGCUGCAACAUAAAGUUUUUGAAGGCCACCCAUUUACACUAAUCUGUUAGCAACAACAUGUAUUUCCAGUGGACUGCAGAAAUUGCCUCAGUUUUACUCCAUAAAGGAAAAUCACCCAAUUUAGCAAACCUUGCAAAUGCUGAUUUAUUAACAGUUAAUGUUUAAUUUGUAUGCCUUUUUAUAGACUUAUAUACCUGGGGUCACAAAAAAAUUUCUCAGGUGAAAAGGGAUUGCAAGUGGAGUGGAAAGUUUAAGAUGCCCUAUUGAACAUCUUUGCACAAGUAGGGUUCCCUAAGGAAAUUAUUACUGACCUUUUCAGACCAUGCGGCAUUAAACAUCUGACCACCACUCCAUACCAUUCCACAGAUGAAUGGUACCCUCAACCACAUGAUCAAAACCCAUAUGCAGAGGAACCCGAACAAUGGAUCAGCAGCUACAAUAUUUCCUGUUUGUAUAUCGAGAGGUUCCACAGGAAAGCACUGGCUUCAGUCCCUUUGAGGAGUUGCUGUUUAGAAGGAAGCCCAAAGGCCUGAUGGACAUUUUAAGCCAGAUAAGCUUUAUAAAGCCAGGUUAGCUUUAUUGUGAGGAAGUCAGGGAUGCUGCUGCCCCCGCCCCUACAAAGAAAUAUUGGGAUAGGGAGGAAUGAGCUAGUUAGUACCAAAUAGUGGGCGCUUUGGGGAAGAGCAAUGGACCUAAACCAGCCCCUCUCCGAAGGCAUCUCUCUCUUCCUCUCUCUGACUGUUCUCCUUUGCAAAACUCAGAAAGGUUUGUUUUCCAUGCUACCCCAGGAGUGCUGUUAAAAGUAGCUCCUGCCGGAUAUCCUCCUCCUCCUUCCUAGACUCAAGAUAGUUUCCAUGGCUGCUUUCAUAUUUCCAGGUUUGGCUAUCAUUUCUCUGAGGAUCCCUAAAAUGGACCUAUAUCAGCCCCUCUCCCAAGGCACCUCUCUCCUCCUACCUCUGAUUGUGUUUUCCUUUCUCCUUUGUGGAAUCUCAGAAAGGUUUGUUUUCCCUGUUACCUCAGUAGAGCUGUUAAAGUGGCUCCUGAAUGUCCUCUUGCCAGAUAUCUCUAUUCUUUCUUUUCAGUUUCAAGAUGACUUCCAUGGCUGCUUUCAUACUUCCAGGUAUGGCUAUUUCUCUGACUAUUUCUCUGACUAUUUCUCUUCACGGUGCAUUUGCCUCACAUUUGUGUGUGUAACCCUGCAACUUUCUGUUAGAAAAGUAAAAGCUCAGGCAGCUUUUAGACACCCAGUGCUGCUCAUAGUUGAUAAAUUGUGUGUAACCAUAUUUAAAAAUCCUUUUUCAAAAAUGUGCUUUAACACAUUUCCUGGUAUUUUACAUUAAUUAAUCUUUAAGCUUGGAUCUUCUUAAAUUUGGGAAAACAUUUCAGGUAGAAACUUUUCCAUUAUUUCAAUUUAUUAGAGAGCCAGCAUUAUGUACAAGUUUGAGUGUUGGACUAUGCUUCUCGUGACCAGGGUUCGAAUCCCUGUUCAGCCAAGAAAACCACAGGAUGAACUUGUGCAAGUCACACACUCUCAGCCUCAGAGGAGGGCAAAUGCAAACCCUUGCUAAACUAGCCUGUCAGGAAAAUCCUGCAGGAUCACUUUAUGGUUUCAAAUGACAAAGGCACAUACCGUGCCCAUUUUAUCAUACAGUCUUUUAUGUCCAUUUUAUCAUACAGUCUUUUUAUCCUUUCUAAAAAUUCUUCAUCUAGUGAUAUUGAAAAGGGAGUAUUGAUGUAUAAUUUGAAUUUAUAUUUCUUCCAGAUUUUCAGAUUUACUCAUGUAAUUUUUGCCUUUCCAUUCCAUAGAUACCAAUCAAAACUCAGGUAAUUUUCUUCUAGAUUUAAAAGUCUCUCAUGUCAAACAGUAUCUAAGACUAAAAAACAUGCUGGAAGUAUAUUUUCAGAUCUGGUAAUGUGAGACUGCCUUGUUAUCUGUUGUCCUAAAGAAGUUCAAAUCUAAUUCUUGGCCUUUUUCCUUGCUAUAUAAACCUAGCUCCACAGUUGGAAUGGCUUAUCAUUUCUUAUGGUUGGAAUAUUUUGAAAUUAGCAUAGCAUUUUAGGCAAGAUUUUAAUUUUAAUGGCUGGAAUUCUUCUCAUUUUUGAAAAUCCAUGUUUAUGUCUUUCCAAGUCUGUUGAAAAAUGAAGUCUCCCAGAAGUUUUCCUCUGCUUACAUGUUGUGGCUUUUUUCUUCUCUUGGAGAUACUGUGUCCCAUGAAGACACUGGGGAAGAAGAUCGGAAGAAGCACCCAUCACCUUCAGCAAGUGUUCUAACAGCACCACCUCUGAGCCUGAAGAAUGAGGACUCAAUUCUAGCAGAGCCUUUUGAAACUUGGGCAAGGAGCUAAUGGCAGGAGCAUUGCACUUCUUAGAAGAGGAGGGGGUGUGGGUCAAGCUUUUGGAGGAAGUGCUCGAGUGGCCACAUUGCUGUUGUCUUUCUUUCACAGUGCACACUGACCAUGGGAGGAAAGUCUCCAAGUAUGAGUACCCUUUGGAGCAAGAAGUCAGGCAGUUCCUCCCAGGCAGAGAGGCAACUUAUUUUCACUCUUUAGGUGCAAGUUCAGUCUUGCUGUAGUCCGUUCAGAUGCCACACAAGCUUCUAUAUACUGUGAAGAGACAGGGUGGCCAGGUCAACUUCAUAGCUGUCAUGGGGCACCUUCUCACAGGGUUGCAAGGGGCAAAAUCUUGUUCCUGUAACGGAGAUGGAAUAAAUUCAAACUAUCAAUAAGUACAUAAA